rnacentral:tRNA from 1 species
UGGCAGGGAGUACAGGACUCGAACCUGUGAUGCCAGUGUCAAAGACUGGAGUGCUACCAACUACACCAACUCCCU